CACGUAGGGGGCAAGCGUUGUCCGGAUUUAUUGGGCGUAAAGAGCUCGUAGGCGGUUCGGUAAGUCGGGUGUGAAACCUCCAGGCUCAACCUGGAGAGGCCACCUGAUACUGCUGUGACUCGAGUCCGGUAGGGGAGCGUGGAAUUCCUGGUGUAGCGGUGAAAUGCGCAGAUAUCAGGAGGAACACCGGUGGCGAAGGCGGGUCUCUGGGCAGUAACUGACGCUGAGGAGCGAAAGCUAGGGGAGCGAACGGG
rnacentral:rRNA from 1 species